UUCUUACAAGUCCAUCUUUCUUUCCGUGAAUCCAUCUAGGAAGCAUGUGCAUUUCUGAAAAUCUAAAGUAAUUUCUUCACUCUCCCUCCACAACGCCAGCGCCACGUUCGCCUCUCUAACCGCUUCGAUCAUCAUCACCGCCCUCAUAUCUCUCUCCACCCUCAAAUCUGGAGGUACAUCAAUAAUUCUUGGAAACUUGAAGAAGCUCACAACAAUGGCCAUCACUCACUCCAAUCUCACAGAGAUAAUUUACUAGCUCACUCAAUUCCACGGCAUGUUGAUGGAAUUGAGACUCCUCGCUCGCCCGAACAAAACUUUAAGCAUGUUAGAGGUACGUAUUUCUCCAACUAUAUAUAUAUAUGUGUGUGUAUAUCUUUUAGUUUCUUCAAUACUUACACUUGUAGUCAGUGACGGAGCCAGGAUUUCAAGUGGGGGGGGCACUCUGCCAAAAAAAAAAAAACAAUACGGAGUAUAUAUAUA